UAACCUGCCCAUAAGAGGGGGAGUAACAUCCGGAAACGGGUGCUAAUACCGCAUAGUUUUCUUGAUCGCAUGAUCGGGAAAGGAAAGGACGGCCUCUGUGCUGUCGCUUAUGGAUGGACCCGCGGCGUAUUAGUUAGUUGGUGAGGUAAUGGCUCACCAAGACGAUGAUACGUAGCCGACCUGAGAGGGUGAUCGGCCACAUUGGGACUGAGACACGGCCCAAACUCCUACGGGAGGCAGCAGUAGGGAAUCUUCCGCAAUGGACGAAAGUCUGACGGAGCAACGCCGCGUGAGUGAAGAAGGGUUUUUUCCGGAUCGUAAAACUCUGUUGUCAGAGAAGAACAAGUUGGAGAGUAACUGCUCCAGCCUUGACGGUAUCUGACCAGAAAGCCACGGCUAACUACGUGCCAGCAGCAGC
rnacentral:rRNA from 1 species